UUUUUGCGCAUGAGCAGUUGCCGGGGUCACGUGCUAGUUGGAACUAGGAAACUCCGAUAUUUCCAACAUUCGUUGAACGCGGCACGUGUAUAACUACAACCAGUUAGGAGGUUGGACAUUUCCGAGUUUCGACAAGCACUUGGACGCGGCACCAGCUAGCCAACGUCGCCAUGACAUCGCCUACAAGCGUGAUCAGAUGUGUUUCCUUCCUGAAAGUCAGAAAGCAGUACUUCUCCUCUUUUCCAACCCCAGUCUGACGCACAUGCGUCCUCCAGGGAAGUGGGGAAGUGGGGAGGUGGGGAGGGCAAACAGAAAAAGAUUGGGUAAUUCAUUUUUUUUUUUAAAUGUUGU
ensembl:lncRNA